GGCUCGGUGGUAAUGGCGUAUGAUUCUCUUUUAGGGUGCGAGAGGUCCCGGGUUCAAAUCCCGGUCGAGUCC